rnacentral:rRNA from 1 species
CCUACGGGGGGCAGCAGUGGGGAAUAUUGGGCAAUGGAGGGAACUCUGACCCAGCAACGCCGCGUGAAGGAUGAAGGUUUUCGGAUUGUAAACUUCUGUCGCGAGGGACGAAGAAUGACGGUACCUCGUAAGAAAGCCCCGGCAAACUACGUGCCAGCAGCCGCGGUAAUACGUAGGGGGCGAGCGUUGUCCGGAAUGACUGGGCGUAAAGGGAGUGUAGGCGGCCUUUUAAGUUAUAUGUGAAAUCCCGUGGCUCAACCAUGGAAGUGCAUAUAAAACUGGAGGGCUGGAGUGCAGGAGAGGUAAGUGGAAUUCCUAGUGUAGCGGUGGAAUGCGUAGAUAUUAGGAGGAACACCAGAGGCGAAGGCGGCUUACUGGCCUGUAACUGACGCUGAGGCUCGAAAGCGUGGGGAGCAAACAGGAUUAGAUACCCCAGUA